rnacentral:rRNA from 1 species
CCUACGGGAGGCUGCAGUAGGGAAUAUUGCUCAAUGGGGGAAACCCUGAUGCAGCAACGCCGCGUGGAGGAUGAAGGUUUUCGGAUCGUAAAGUCCUUUUGUUAGAGAAGAUAAUGACGGUAUCUAACGAAUAAGCACCGGCUAACUCCGUGCCAGCAGCCGCGGUAAUACGGAGGGUGCAAGCGUUACUCGGAAUCACUGGGCGUAAAGAGCGCGUAGGCGGGAUAGCAAGUCAGAAGUGAAAUCCUAUGGCUUAACCAUAGAACUGCAUUUGAAACUGUUAUUCUAGAGUAUGGGAGAGGUAGGUGGAAUUCUUGGUGUAGGGGUAAAAUCCGUAGAGAUCAAGAGGAAUACUCAUUGCGAAGGCGACCUGCUAGAACAUAACUGACGCUGAUGCGCGAAAGCGUGGGGAGCAAACAGGAUUAGAUACCCCAGUAGUC